UGUAUAAAACUCCCACUGUCUCUCACAACAAUAGUCAUUCUCCUGGGCUCCUCUGUCUGUCUGUGUAUCUGUCUGUCACACCAUUGAAACCUCACCUUGCUCUCGUGCAGCCAUGUCUGAUGUAGAGGAGGAAUACGAGGAGGGGCAGGCGGAAGAGGAGGCAGAGGAGGAGCAGGAGGC